rnacentral:rRNA from 1 species
CCCUUAGAUGUUCUGGGCCGCACGCGCGCUACACUGAUGCAUUCAACGAGUCUAAAACCUGGUCUGAUAGGGCUGGGUAAUCUUUUGAAUGUGCAUCGUGAUUGGGAUAGAUGAUUGCAAUUCUUCAUCUUCAACGAGGAAUGCCUAGUAAACGCAAGUCACCAGCUUGCAUUGAUUACGUCCCUGCCCUUUGUACACACCGCCCGUCGCUCCUACCGAUUGAAUGUUCCGAUGAAUACCAUGGACUGAGAGUAUGAAUGGGUUCGCCUAUUUCUGCUUCUCGGGAAGUGGAGUAAAUCUUAACAUUUAGAGGAAGGAGAAGUCGUAACA